rnacentral:lncRNA from 1 species
AUUCAUUUAUCUCCAUCUUUGCCCUCCAUUUCCUCUCUUUUAUCCCUCUCUCUACUCGCCCACCAUAUUUAUCCAGCGUUGAUCAUGGCGUCGCAAAAUCGCUGCAUCGAUCUGCCCCUCAUGUACUGUGCUAUCGUUGCGUGCAGCGACGUCGCGAUUGUGGAUGCAAUCUGUGGAUCUGAUAAGGCGAUGGUAGCGAUGCAGUGGGUAGAUUUGAUAAGGUGGUUCAGGGAUUUUUUUAAUGGGUGUGAUGGUUGUGGUGUGAUGGAGAUUGUGGUUGUGAUUUUUAGUAUAGGAGGUGGUGCUGCUGCUUCUACUGGCCGUGACAUUCAUGGUAAGAUCGGGAUAGGGUGGCGGUGACAGUGAUGGUGGUGGUGUUAGCGUUGACACUGGUGGUGGUUUGUAGUUAAAAUGAUGGUUUGCUGGUGGUGGGGUGGUGGUGACAAUUUUGAAAUUAAAAACGGUAGUUUGUUAGAUGUAUUGCUAGCAGUGGUGUUGCUGGAGGUGGUGAUUACAGUGGUGCAAGGGUGCGGCUAGAGGCAAUAAUAAGGUGGUGGUCACAAUUGUUGAUGAUGGUGACAAAUUAUUUGAUUGAUAUUGCGACCAAUAAAUAAUAUGUGAUCUAAAAAUUUGUUAAUUUGUGACUAAUAAUUUGAUAAUUUCUUGCCGUUGUGAC